GGCUCUGUGGUCGAGUGGUAAGGACACUGGCCUCUCAUCUAAGAGUUUCGGGUUCGAUCUCCCGUCGAGGAGCUG